rnacentral:rRNA from 1 species
GCAUCUAAGCAUGAAGCCCCCCUCAAGAUGAGAUUUCCCAACUUCGGUUAUAAGAUCCCUCAAAGAUGAUGAGGUUAAUAGGUUCGAGGUGGAAGCAUGGUGACAUGUGGAGCUGACGAAUACUAAUCGAUCGAAGACUUAAUCAAAA